UGUCAUAGAUAAUAAUGUGGUGAAGGCUGUGCUCAAAAGAGUUCUCAUCAACGCUAAAAGCCAUGACUCUCAGUAUCUUUGGCUUAAACCUCCUUCUCCCAAAAGCGCUCUUGAUCAGUCACGGCAGUUAAGGAGGAAGAAUGCAGGAAAAGCUACAUAUCGAAUUAGCUCUCGCCGGUCCUCCUCUGUAAA